rnacentral:rRNA from 1 species
CCUACGGGUGGCAGCAGUCGAGAAUCAUUCACAAUGGGGGAAACCCUGAUGGUGCGACGCCGCGUGGGGGAAUGAAGUUCUUCGGAUUGUAAACCCCUGUCAUGUGGGAGCAAAUUAAAAAGAUAGUACCACAAGAGGAAGAGACGGCUAACUCUGUGCCAGCAGCCGCGGUAAUACAGAGGUCUCAAGCGUUGUUCGGAAUCACUGGGCGGAAAGCGUGCGUAGGCUGUUUCGUAAGUCGUGUGUGAAAGGCGCGGGCUCAACCCGCGGACGGCACAUGAUACUGGGAGACUAGAGUAAUGGAGGGGGAACCGGAAUUCUCGGUGUAGCAGUGAAAUGCGUAGAUAUCGAGAGGAACACUAGUGGCGAAGGCGGGUUCCUGGACAUUAACUGACGCUGAGGCACGAAGGCCAGGGGAGCGAAAGGGAUUAGAUACCCUAGUAGUC